AAAGACCAUGUGGUAACGCUUUAGAUUUAACUUGUUUACAUUUCAAACAAUGUGCCAACAUCUUUUCACUCCAUGUUAAAAGAAAUUUUCAGUAAGUAUGUCUAGUGUCUUUGGGACUCAAAACUAUCUCGUAAGAUCUCCACAAUAUGCUUCCCUUAUACAUAUUUUACGUAACGAGCAAUUAGGGAUACACAGCUUAUUUUCCUCUAAGAGAAACCCAUCUUGGAGGAUAAACCUCUCAAAAGGACCCAACUUACAAUCUGC
rnacentral:lncRNA from 1 species